rnacentral:rRNA from 1 species
GCAUCCAGUUGCCAUCGGGCGAGCCGGGCACUCUGGAGGGACGUGCCGGCGACAAGCCGGAGGAAGGUGGGGAUGACGUCAAGUCAUCAUGGCCCUUAUGUCCAGGGCGACACACGUGCUACAAUGGCCGGCACAGCGGGAAGCGGAGGGGCGACCCUGAGCGGAUCCCUUGAAAGCCGGUCCCAGUUCGGAUUGCAGUCUGCAACUCGACUGCAUGAAGUUGGAAUCGCUAGUAAUCGCGGAUCAGCCAAGCCGCGGUGAAUACGUUCCCGGGCCUU